rnacentral:rRNA from 1 species
GGCAAUCGCCNAUUCCCUUGAGUUGAUAUGGCUAGAAUCACGCUGGCGGCGCGCCUAACACAUGCAAGUCGAACGAGAAAGUGGAGCAAUCCAUGAGUACAGUGGCGUACGGGUGAGUAACACGUGGAUCAUCUACCUCUUUGUGGGGAAUAACCGAGGGAAACCUCGGCUAAUACCGCAUAAGCCCGAGAGGGGAAAGCAGCAAUGCGCAGAGAGAGGAGUCCGCGGCCGAUUAGCUAGUUGGCAGGGUAAAAGCCUACCAAGGCAACGAUCGGUAGCCGGCCUGAGAGGGCACACGGCCACACUGGCACUGAAACACGGGCCAGACUCCUACGGGAGGCAGCAGUGGGGAAUCUUGCACAAUGGGGGAAACCCUGAUGCAGCGACGCCGCGUGAGCGAUGAAGCCCUUCGGGGUGUAAAGCUCUUUCGGCAGGGAAGAUUAUGACGGUACCUGCAGAAGCAGCUGCGGCUAACUACGUGCCAGCAGCCGCGGUAAUACGUAGGCAGCAAGCGUUGUUCGGAGUUACUGGGCGUAAAGGGUGUGUAGGCGGUUGUUUAAGUUUGGUGUGAAAUCUCCCGGCUCAACCGGGAGGGUGCGGCGAAUACUGAGAAGCUAGAGUGUGGGAGAGGAAAGUGGAAUUCCUGGUGUAGCGGUGAAAUGCGUAGAUAUCAGGAGGAACACCGGUGGUGUAAACGGCUUUCUGGACCAUAACUGACGCUGAAGCACGAAAGCGUGGGUAGCAAACAGGAUUAGAUACCCUGGUAGUCCACGCCCUA